rnacentral:rRNA from 1 species
UACGGAGGGUGCAAGCGUUAUCCGGAUUUACUGGGGUUAAAGGGUGCGUAGGUGGGUUGGUAAGUCAGUGGUGAAAUCUCCGAGCUUAACUUGGAAACUGCCAUUGAUACUAUCAGUCUUGAAUAUUGUGGAGGUCAGCGGAAUAUGUCAUGUAGCGGUGAAAUGCUUAGAUAUGACAUAGAACACCAAUUGCGAAGGCAGCUGGCUACUCAUAUAUUGACACUGAGGCACGAAAGCGUGGGGAUCAAACAGG